UAACAACACAAAAUAAUCAAAUAAAGGGGUAUUAAGGCUUAGGUGGGCAAGGCAAAGUGGCAUUUCCAUGACAUGUUGAAAGGAAACACAACAAUAUUUGUAAAUACGUAGAUAGAAUGUUGCAAUUCUCCCCUGUCAGAUUACAUCAUAUAUCAAAGACUGGCGGCGCAUGGAUUGGUUAUGUAACCUUGAUACAAAAACGAAACAGGAGAAGACAAAUACUGAGAUAAACACGAAUUUAGAAUGGAUGAGUGCUGGAUCACCUGCACGGUUUGGGAAGAGGUUUAAUACUGUUGUUACCGCCGAGAGUGAAAGAGGUUGUUGUUGUUGUGCAAGCGAGUUUGUCAGUGAGGAAGGAAAGGACCUGGAGAUCAGGGCGAGGACCAAGACGAGGCCUAAGUCAGCGAAUUUCUUGUGCGGUCGGUGUUGAGGGUAGGAACCCAGGCAGUAACUGAGGACGAUAGGGACACUUUGCUGAGGACACUCGUGCAGGGAGAACGUGUGUCGGCGCAAAGACAGAAAUAGAUAGACCUACCUAGAGCACCUGUCAGAAAGGGCGUGCACGUUACUUAACGAUUACCCCAAGACCCAAACACGUUUUGACCGAAUUCAAGCGGAUCCAACCGAAUUCAAGCGCACCCAACCGGAUUCAAUGGGAUUCAAUAAAUGAUUCGUGUCAUCGUGUGGGUCUGAAUCAACCUUCGCCGCCUGCUUUUUUUU